rnacentral:rRNA from 1 species
UACGUAGGGUGCGAGCGUUGUCCGGAAUUAUUGGGCGUAAAGAGCUCGUAGGCGGUGUGUCACGUCGGCCGUGAAAACCUGCAGCUUAACUGUGGGCGUGCGGUCGAUACGGGCAUCACUGGAGUUCGGCAGGGGAGACUGGAAUUCCUGGUGUAGCGGUGAAAUGCGCAGAUAUCAGGAGGAACACCGGUGGCGAAGGCGGGUCUCUGGCCCGUUCUUGACGCUGAGGCGCGAAAGCUAGGGUAGCAAACGGG